rnacentral:lncRNA from 1 species
CUGGGAAUUCCUUGUAAUCACACGAGCACGCCGUUGUAACCAGAAAUUAUUGAAAUGAAAAGUGUUAUACAUUUUUGAACUGUCUUUCUGGCAUUGUCGUUCUACUGGUAAUACAUCCGCAGGUUAGCGGAAUUCCAGCUCCUUGGAAUUUCUCGACCAUCUAGGGCCUCCAACUGGUAGGAGCCAGGUCGGUUUACCAGCGAACCCUAUACGGGCCUUCCCAAUUUGGCGCUAGCUUCCCACCUUCCGCAGGUUGAGAUGCUUUAGCUCGCCUUAGCACCAGAUCUCCGAUUCUGAAAAGCUUCGGUCGGAC